rnacentral:rRNA from 1 species
UACGGAGGGUGCAAGCAUUGAUCGGAAUUACUGGGCGUAAAGGGCGCGUAGGCGGUUCUAUAAGUCAGACGUGAAAUUCCGGGGCUCAACCCCGGAGCUGCGUUUGAAACUGCAGAACUAGAGUUCAGUUAGGGUAAACGGAAUUCCACGUGUAGCGGUGAAAUGCGUAGAUAUGUGGAAGAACACCGGUGGUGAAGACGGUUUACUGGGCUGAGACUGACGCUGAGGCGCGAAAGCAUGGGGAGCAAACAGG